rnacentral:rRNA from 1 species
GGUCAAGUUAUUAAGGGCCUACGGUGGAUGCCUAGGGGCCAAGGGCCGAAGAAGGGCGCGGCAAGGCUGCGAAAAGCCUCGAUGAGCCGUCUAGCAGGCAUAGUCGGGGAUGCCCGAAUGGGGUAACCCUCCUCGGUGUUGAGCCGGGGAAUUCCGUCUUAAGGCGGAAGGGUAAGCGAGGGAACUGAAACAUCUAAGUACCUCGAGGAGAGUAAAUCAACCGAGAUUCCCUGAGUAGUGGCGAACGA